rnacentral:tRNA from 1 species
AAAAAGAUAAGCUAAUUAAGCUAAUGGUUCAUACCCCAGUUAUGAAAAUUUGAAUUCUUUUCUUUUUA